rnacentral:rRNA from 1 species
GACGAACGCUGGCGGCGUGCCUAAUACAUGCAAGUAGAACGCUGAAGGAAGGAGCUUGCUCUUUCUGGAUGAGUUGCGAACGGGUGAGUAACGCGUAGGUAACCUGCCUGGUAGCGGGGGAUAACUAUUGGAAACGAUAGCUAAUACCGCAUAAAAUUGAUUAUUGCAUGAUAGUCAAUUAAAAGGUGCAACUGCACCACUACCAGAUGGACCUGCGUUGUAUUAGCUAGUUGGUGGGGUAACGGCUCACCAAGGCGACGAUACAUAGCCGACCUGAGAGGGUGAUCGGCCACACUGGGACUGAGACACGGCCCAGACUCCUACGGGAGGCAGCAGUAGGGAAUCUUCGGCAAUGGACGGAAGUCUGACCGAGCAAUGCCGCGUGAGUGAAGAAGGUUUUCGGAUCGUAAAGCUCUGUUGUAAGAGAAGAACGAGUGUGAGAGUGGAAAGUUCACACUGUGACGGUAUCUUACCAGAAAGGGACGGCUAACUACGUG